rnacentral:rRNA from 1 species
ACGGAGGGUGCGAGCGUUGUCCGGAAUCAUUGGGCGUAAAGGGCGCGUAGGCGGCCAUGCGUGUCUUCCGUGAAAUCCCUCGGCUUAACUGAGGACGUGCGGAAGAAACUGCAAGGCUUGAGUCCGGGAGAGGGGGGUGGAAUUCCCAGUGUAGCGGUGAAAUGCGUAGAUAUUGGGAGGAACACCGGUGGCGAAGGCGGCCCCCUGGGCAGGAAGACACCGCAAGGUGUCGGCUGACGCUGAGGCGCGACAGCGUGGGGAGCAAACAGGA